rnacentral:lncRNA from 1 species
ACCUAUUAAAAUAGACCACUGCAGCUAGUCCAAACCACUAAUUGGUACAUUGAGCAAAGUCAAUCAUAAGCAAUUCACAGACAAUGUGACUUUGAUGCGUUCUUUAAAUGGAAAACAACACACCUAAGCCUGGAGUAAACUGAUAGCAUUUUAUACCAAAACAGGUGAAAACUCCCUUUCAAGGAAGUCUUGGAUCUUAUGCUACACAAUCCAACCCAUCUCGAUUAUUUUAUAAAUGCAACCAACAUCAAUAGUAUCAUAUAUAUAUAUAUAUAUAUAUAUAUAUAUAUAUAUAUAGGCAUUUAUUACCUAUACUUCUCUGUUAUUUUUUUUUUAUUGAUUUAAGUGUUAGAGUGUCUUUAUAAAUAUUCAACUCAUCUCGAUCUAUUGCAUGCAGCUUAGCCACAUAUGAAGGAAGAACCAUCGCCAACUCAUCUCUCAAACCUCGAAUAUUAAAAUCAAGCUUAAAUAUUCGAGACAACAAUAACAAUCAAUCCAUAUUUCAACUAAUUUUGUAUGUAAGAGAGAGAUGAGAGAGAAGAAAAAAAAGAAGAAAAGAAUGGAGAACAACUACGUGAAGAUCAGGUCAUGGAACUAGAGACAAACCAUUGUUGAACAUGGAACUAGAGAUAAUCAAUUCAAGUGGGGAGCUUUGUUUGUAUGGGUUCUUUUGUAAACAGUUGGUUAUCUUGCAUUUAUGUAAUAUUCUGCAUAAAUAUCUUAUAACCAAUUUUGGGGAACUCAUUCACAUAGGCCCUGCUCUGGCAAAGUUACUUGUAAAUGGGUUCUGGUACGGUACACUUGAUACGUGGUACCGUAUUUAUAUCGAUAUUUUAUUUGUCGAUAAAAAAAGUAAUGAAGUUUAAGACUCUUAUCAUGUACUUUAGUUUUAUUUAUUUUAUAUUCUGCAAUGAUCAUUUUGAAAAUAAAAUAUGGUGCAUGUAUUUUUUAUAUAACCAACAAGGAUCGAGUCUAGCUAAAAAAAAAACUGAUUUUUUACGAUACUAAUGUUUUGUUUGGUAAAAAGGAG